UAUCCACUCAUCUUCCUCCCUACGCUCAUUCUCUCCAUUCCCCCAUCUUCUCCGAUCCGGUCCACCUCCCCACCGCCGUCUCCGCGCGCCGGCUCCGCCCUCUCCUAUCCUUGCCGCUGCGGGCGUCUCAUAGCGCGCCGGCUCUGGCCAAUCCUAUUUGCGCCGGUGGUGGAUGCAGCGCGGCCACCUCGAAGCGGAGUCCUGGAGGCGCGGGCGGCGGAGGGUGACUGGAGAUGAUGUGGACGGCGGUGGGUGACAUGAGUUGUCGCGGACAACGGGACGAGGAGAAGUCUUGGCCGGCGACGGACUCGCGAGACCGCUCCUCUGACGACGUAGCGAAGGGCGAGGGGGACAGCAGACGGGCGGGAGGAGCCUGUCAAGGGCACGGCAAGGUGAGGUCCUGGCCAGCGACGGACUCACCGAGCCACUCCUCUGACGACGGAGGGGAGGUCGGGGGAGGAGGGCGCCUGGAGGCCGUUGGCGUCUACAUCGUCGUCAUCCGUGACGGCGGCGGCGUCGACGCUUGUGGCCGUGGUCGCCUCAGUUGCGCCGUCCUCCGUGCAAGGAGGUCCAGACCGACCAGCCGCCGGCGCGCUUCAUGAUGCAGGCGUCGGCAAGCUCGAACGUCUCGCUGACCCUGGCGCCUCCUUCAGCGGCGCCAGAAUCCCCUGGAGCGCGACGGCACUGGCCUCCACUCUGGCAGCGGCCGCUGCCCCUACAAGGGCUAGGUCCUGGCGUAGCACCAGCAGAUGCGCCUCCUGCACGAGGAUGUUGCAGGCUAUAGGUUCGUUCGUUGGACAUUUGAGCUCUCUAUCAUCAAUCGGGUCGAUAGUUGAAAUUGUCAAUGUGGAAUCUAAUUGCAUUGUUCAUUUUUUUCACAUGGCAAUUUUUGUUGUGUUCACUUGUGUGCAAGCUAUGGAAGAUGAAUGUCCUAGGAUUUUUGCAUACCAUGGCAUUUUAAGUUCAUGGAAGGAUGGCAAUUUGUAGUUUAUAAACAUCACUGAUGAGUUCAUUUUUUCACAUGGCAACUUUUGUUUUGUGUUCACUUUGUGUGCAAGCUAUGGAAGAUGAAUACCCUCGGAUUUUUAUGUAUCAUGGCUUUUAAGUUCAUGGAAGCAUGGCAAUUGUAGUUUAUGGAUAAUGG
rnacentral:rRNA from 1 species